UACGAAGGGGGCUAGCGUUGCUCGGAAUCACUGGGCGUAAAGCGCACGUAGGCGGCUUGUUAAGUCGGGGGUGAAAUCCUGGAGCUCAACUCCAGAACUGCCUCCGAUACUGGCGAGCUCGAGUCCGGGAGAGGUGAGUGGAACUGCGAGUGUAGAGGUGAAAUUCGUAGAUAUUCGCAAGAACACCAGUGGCGAAGGCGGCUCACUGGCCCGGUACUGACGCUGAGGUGCGAAAGCGUGGGGAGCAAACAGG
rnacentral:rRNA from 1 species